AAGGCUGAGGCGUGAUGACGAGGCACUACGGUGCUGAAGCAACAAAUGCCCUGCUUCCAGGAAAAGCCUCUAAGCAUCAGGUAACAUCAAAUCGUACCCCAAACCGACACAGGUGGUCAGGUAGAGAAUACCAAGGCGCUUGAGAGAACUCGGGUGAAGGAACUAGGCAAAAUGGUGCCGUAACUUCGGGAGAAGGCACGCUGACACGUAGGUGAAGUGAUUUACUCAUGGAGCUGAAGUCAGUCGAAGAUACCAGCUGGCUGCAACUGUUUAUUAAAAACACAGCACUGUGCAAACACGAAAGUGGACGUAUACGGUGUGACGCCUGCCCGGUGCCGGAAGGUUAAUUGAUGGGGUCAGCGCAAGCGAAGCUCCUGAUCGAAGCCCCGGUAAACGGCGGCCGUAACUAUAACGGUCCUAAGGUAGCGAAAUUCCUUGUCGGGUAAGUUCCGACCUGCACGAAUGGCGUAAUGAUGGCCAGGCUGUCUCCACCCGAGACUCAGUGAAAUUGAACUCGCUGUGAAGAUGCAGUGUACCCGCGGCAAGACGGAAAGACCCCGUGAACCUUUACUAUAGCUUGACACUGAACAUUGAGCCUUGAUGUGUAGGAUAGGUGGGAGGCUUUGAAGUGUGGACGCCAGUCUGCAUGGAGCCGACCUUGAAAUACCACCCUUUAAUGUUUGAUGUUCUAACGUGGACCCGUUACCCGGGUUGCGGACAGUGUCUGGUGGGUAGUUUGACUGGGGCGGUCUCCUCCUAAAGAGUAACGGAGGAGCACGAAGGUUGGCUAAUCCUGGUCGGACAUCAGGAGGUUAGUGCAAUGGCAUAAGCCAGCUUGACUGCGAGCGUGACGGCGCGAGCAGGUGCGAAAGCAGGUCAUAGUGAUCCGGUGGUUCUGAAUGGAAGGGCCAUCGCUCAACGGAUAAAAGGUACUCCGGGGAUAACAGGCUGAUACCGCCCAAGAGUUCAUAUCGACGGCGGUGUUUGGCACCUCGAUGUCGGCUCAUCACAUCCUGGGGCUGAAGUAGGUCCCAAGGGUAUGGCUGUUCGCCAUUUAAAGUGGUACGCGAGCUGGGUUUAGAACGUCGUGAGACAGUUCGGUCCCUAUCUGCCGUGGGCGCUGGAGAACUGAGGGGGGCUGCUCCUAGUACGAGAGGACCGGAGUGGACGCAUCACUGGUGUUCGGGUUGUCAUGCCAAUGGCACUGCCCGGUAGCUAAAUGCGGAAGAGAUAAGUGCUGAAAGCAUCUAAGCACGAAACUUGCCCCGAGAUGAGUUCUCCCUGAGACUUAGAGUCUCCUGAAGGAACGUUGAAGACGACGACGUUGAUAGGCCGGGUGUGUAAGCGCAGCGAUGCGUUGAGCUAACCGGUACUAAUGAACCGUGAGGCUUAACCUUACAACGCCG
rnacentral:rRNA from 1 species